AUGGGAGCGAUGAGGAGAGUGCCUCUGCAUGAAAGAUAGAGAAAGAGAGAGAAAAACCCUCUGAGAACAGGAAUAGGAGAGCUUCAUGAGACUGAAGGUUUUAGAAGAACAAUCUUAUGACCUCUGUUAUGGAGCCUCUGUUGUCAGGACCACAUUCCAUGAGGGUAGCUCUGUCCACGGGUGCCUCCAGACUGUUGGCAUUUUGCAGGAAGGAACUUUAGGCUUGUGCCUUUAAAGUGGAUUAAUGUGCUCAGUUGCCCUAGCACAACAAACCCAUUCCACAAAAGAAACAGACUUUGCAGUUAGGAAAGAAAAGAAAGCCAGGCCUCUUCCAGUUUCAAGCCAGUGAACUUCAAAACGAGCUUUAAGUUUUCUAUCAAUUUAGUCAACGCUUCAACUACCAGAGGACGUCUCAAUCACAAAGAUAAGUCUCGCUACUAUGAAAACAUCUGCCAGAAUUUCCCCCUUUGAAACAGGAUGGGUGUGAAAUGAACAAAAGACACAACAGCCUUGGGUGUGUGCACAACUCAGUAGGAAAGUUCUGUUUCUUUUGAUGAGAUCAUGGACUUCACUUACAGCUUCUCUGUUGGCUGGUUGCCGAAAGAUGUCACCAUCCGAGUUGUCCCACGAAGACUCCCUGUCUCCUGUAGUCAAGAGACAAUGAUGUCAAGAAUUACUGGGGCCAUUUGUGAUCCCCACCCUGAUGUCCCUGUGUGUAUUGAAAGUGAAGAUAUCAACAUGGAGGAGUUAUAUUCAAAUGAUAGCCUGAGGACAUCUCUAUGGAGCUUUCUACUGUUUAACUAAACUGGAAACAGAACUGUCCUAAAUUCUGAAACAGCCUCAGCCUCACUGUUGAAUAAGAGAAUUGACUUUU